rnacentral:snRNA from 1 species
GUGCUUGCUUCGGCAGCACAUAUACUAACUUUGGAAUGAUACAGAGAAGAUUAGCAUGGCCCCUGUGCAAGGAUGACACACAAAUUCGUGAAGCAUUCCAUAUUUUU